AAUCCACAAGUCAUACCUCUUAAUUAAGCCGGUUAGAGCCCGUUUGGAUUGGCUUAUAAGUUGCUUAUAAGCUAUUUUUAACUUUUUUGAGUGUUUGACUGACCAGCUUAAAGCCAUUUUGUGCUUAAAAUAAACUCAAAAAAUUAAAUGGAUUUAUUUGGCUUAACUUAUCUAAAACAGCUUAUAAGCUGUUUCCAGCUUAUAAACUGUUUUUUUAAGCCCAUCCAAACAGGCUCUUAGUAACCUCUUCACGUCUCUUCUUAACCUAACUUAUGUUCAUUCAUCCUUUAUUUAUCUCCGUUCGGUUUGUUCCAUUCUAUCUGUCCAUUCACUAUAUCAAUCCUCUUCUUCUUCUUAAUCUCUUUGUUUGUCUGAUUAAUCCUGACUGUUUAACGCGGCUAAAGCUCCAUGGAACUCGCUUGAUAAUCUCCCUUAGAAUGAUGCCAGAAGAUACUACUCUCCGGGUAAAUUACGAAGAUGCGCCGAGGAAAUUUGACCCCCGUCUAGAUGUGAACUCCGCUGAAGUUAUCCUUAUAGUGCUCGAUUAAGAACACCCACGUAAAUCUCCUUUUUUUUAAGUACACCUUUCUCUUUUGCUCUUCUUCCUCCCACUCGCUAGAGUCUCCAGGGUUGUUGAAAAUUAAAGAGGUUAGAUACGACCACACUUAUUGUUCUCUUCACCUCCAUGUUUUCCUUUUGUUUUUUCUGCAUUGCUUUUCUUUCAUAUGCUAUGGAUAUUUUGCUUUACUAACCAAUUUAUAUAAUGCUUUCUUAAUUGAAACAGGAUUUCAUACUUGUAUCUAUUUUGGCAGCUAAAAGAAAAGUGAGUUCCAUCUCAAUGCUUGGUUUCCAUCACUUGCUGCUCCGGAACGGACUUCAAAACGGAUCACAUUUUCUCCAACUUAUCUGGGCACUAGACUCAUGAAGAUCUCCUGGAUAUGAAAUUAGGUGUAUCCAUUUUAAUAUAUGUAUUGAUUCUUAUCAUUAAGAAAUAAUUUAUUGUUGAGAAAUUAUAUCCUUCGUCACACUCAAAUAUAUGAAUUCUUAUAGACUGAAGUGGGGGAGGGAUUUUUAAUAACUGCCCUCAUAUGUCGGAAGUAAUGUGAAAUUGAAUAAUGAAGUUCUUAAUUAUUGAAGUUACGUUGUUGAUCCUUCUUUUUAGUGUUUUUAUAGGGUGGAUCGUGAGAACUUAAUUAUAUGAGGUAAAAACAACAAUGCUAACUUCAGCCAAGAAGUUAAAAGUUUGAUUUUUUUUUUUUUUUUUUUUUUUGAGUUUUGAUGUUGAUAUAUGCUGAGAAUCACUUUUGGUGUAUUUUUUUGUGUCCAAGUCAUUUUUUAUGGACAUAUGGUUUUGGUAUGUUUGGGAGUUUAAUUGGGACUGAGUACUAAUUAUCAUUGUAUAUGA